UGCCAGCCGCCGCGGUAAUACGUAGGUGGCAAGCGUUUUCCGGAAUUAUUGGGCGUAAAGGGCUCGCAGGCGGUUUCUUAAGUCUGAUGUGUUAGCCCCCGGCUCAACCGGGGAGGGUCAUUGGAAACUGGGGAACUUGAGUGCAGAAGAGGAGAGUGGAAUUCCACGUGUAGCGGUGAAAUGCGUAGAGAUGUGGAGGAACACCAGUGGCGAAGGCGACUCUCUGGUCUGUAACUGACGCUGAGGAGCGAAAGCGUGGGGAGCGAACAGGAUUAGAUACCCGCGUAGUCC
rnacentral:rRNA from 1 species